ACACAUGCAAGUCGAACGGAGAUUACAGGCGGAAGUUUUCGGAUGGAAGCUUGUAAACUUAGUGGCGGACGGGUGAGUAACACGUGAGCAACCUGCCUAUCAGAGGGGGAUAACGAUUGGAAACGAUCGCUAAUACCGCAUGACAUAGCGGAAUCGCAUGGUUCUGUUAUCAAAGAUUUUAUCGCUGAUAGAUGGGCUCGCGUCCGAUUAGAUAGUUGGUGGGGUAACGGCCUACCAAGUCGACGAUCGGUAGCCGGACUGAGAGGUCGAACGGCCACAUUGGGACUGAGACACGGCCCAGACUCCUACGGGAGGCAGCAGUGGGGGAUAUUGCACAAUGGGGGAAACCCUGAUGCAGCGACGCCGCGCGAGGGAAGACGGUCCUCUGGAUUGUAAACCUCUGUCUUCGGGGACGAAACGAGACGGUACCCGAGGAGGAAGCCACGGCUAACUACGUGCCAGCAGCCGCGGUAAUACGUAGGUGGCAAGCGUUGUCCGGAAUUACUGGGUGUAAAGGGAGCGUAGGCGGGCAGGCAAGUCAGGCGUGAAAUAUAUCGGCUCAACCGGUAACGGCGCUUGAAACUGCAGGUCUUGAGUGAAGUAGAGGUUGGCGGAAUUCCUAGUGUAGCGGUGAAAUGCGUAGAUAUUAGGAGGAACACCAGUGGCGAAGGCGGCCAACUGGGCUUUUACUGACGCUGAGGCUCGAAAGUGUGGGGAGCAAACAGGAUUAGAUACCCUGGUAGUCCACACCGUAAACGAUGAUUACUAGGUGUGGGGGGACUGACCCCUUCCGUGCCGGAGUUAACACAAUAAGUAAUCCACCUGGGGAGUACGGCCGCAAGGUUGAAACUCAAAG
rnacentral:rRNA from 1 species